rnacentral:rRNA from 1 species
AACGAACGCUGGCGGCAGGCUUAACACAUGCAAGUCGAGCGCCCCGCAAGGGGAGCGGCAGACGGGUGAGUAACGCGUGGGAAUCUACCCAUCUCUACGGAAUAACGCAUGGAAACGUGUGCUAAUACCGUAUACGUCCUUCGGGAGAAAGAUUUAUCGGAGACGGAUGAGCCCGCGUUGGAUUAGCUAGUUGGUGGGGUAAAGGCCUACCAAGGCGACGAUCCAUAGCUGGUCUGAGAGGAUGAUCAGCCACACUGGGACUGAGACACGGCCCAGACUCCUACGGGACGCAGCCGUGGGGAAUAUUGGACAAUGGGCGCAAGCUUGAUCCAGCCAUGCCGCGUGAGUGAUGAAGGCCCUAGGGUUGUAAAGCUCUUUCACCGGUGAAGAUAAUGACGGUAACCGGAGAAGAAGCCCCGGCUAACUUCGUGCCAGCCGCCGCUGUAAUAC